UACGUAGGUGGCGAGCGUUGUCCGGAUUUACUGGGCGUAAAGCGCGCGCAGGCGGACUGAUCAGUCUGGGGUGAAAUCUCACGGCUCAACUGUGAGCGGUCCCUGGAUACUGUCAGCCUUGAGAUGUCUAGAGGAGAGCGGAAUUCCCGGUGUAGUGGUGGAAUGCGUAGAUAUCGGGAAGAACACCAGUGGCGAAAGCGGCUCUCUGGGGACCAUCUGACGCUGGAGGCGCGGAAAGCGUGGGGAGCGAACAGG
rnacentral:rRNA from 1 species